UACGGGGGGGGCAAGCGUUGUUCGGAAUUACUGGGCGUAAAGGGCGUGUAGGUGGCCAACUAAGUCCGACGUGAAAUCCCCAGGCUUAACCUGGGAACUGCGUCGGAUACUGGAUGGCUUGAAUUCGGGAGAGGGAUGCAGAAUUCCAGGUGUAGCGGUGAAAUGCGUAGAUAUCAGGAGGAACACCGGUGGCGAAGGCGGGUCUCUGGGCAACUACUGACGCUGAGGAGCGAAAGCGUGGGGAGCGAACAGG
rnacentral:rRNA from 1 species